AACGCACAUUGCGCCCGCCAGCAUUCUGGCGGGCAUGCCUGCCCGAGCGUCAUUUCGACCCUCAGCGCCGCUCGCGGCCUGGUGUUGGGUGCCGGCGCCUGCCGCCCCCGAAAUGCAGUGGCGGCGACGCCCGCGGCCUCCCCUGCGCAGUAGCACAUCUCGCACCGGAGCGCGGACGUCGACGCCGUAAAAAACCUCGUUUGGUUGACCUCGGAUCAGGUAGGGAUACCCGCUGAACUUAA
rnacentral:misc_RNA from 1 species